rnacentral:rRNA from 1 species
UAGGGAAUAUUGGGCAAUGGUCGGAAGACUGACCCAGCCACGCCGCGUGCAGGAGGAAGGCCCUCUGGGUUGUAAACUGCUUUAGCAGGGGAAGAAAAGACUCAUGCGUGAGAGAUUGACGGUACCCUGAGAAUAAGCACCGGCUAACUACGUGCCAGCAGCCGCGGUAAUACGUAGGGUGCAAGCGUUGUCCGGAUUUAUUGGGUUUAAAGGGUGCGUAGGCGGCCUGUUAAGUCAGUGUUUAAAUUUUGCAGCUCAACUGUAGGUAUGGCAUUGAUACUGGCGGGCUUGAAUAUCAGAGAGGCAGCUGGAAUUUAUGGUGUAGCGGUGAAAUGCAUAGAUACCAUAAGGAAUACCGAUAGCGGAGGCAUGUUGCCAUCUGAUGAUUGACGCUGAGGCA